rnacentral:lncRNA from 1 species
CGUAGCGGCCUUGGGACCAUGUCGAAUCGUUCUUUCUUUUGAAUUGAUACAGGAGCUGGCGCGAACGCCAAGCCCCACUACCAAAAAUUGCAUGCCCCAUCUAUCCCUGUUUGGGAAAGUGGCGUGCGUCAGCCAACCGCAGUGCAAUGGUUGGCCUCGGCACGGGACCCCGGCCUCUCUGAUCACCGGACAGCCCGAC